UAUGUUGAAGAAUUUAAUUUAGUUGGAUUAGUUAUUGAAGAUUGACUGGGCUGGUUAAGCUAGAGGAUACACAUGAAAUGUCCCAACCAGUGGUUUUGAUUAGUGGCUCCAAUUCCAUUCAUCUGUUUAUUGUGUAAUCUUGGUUCUAUGUUAUUUUCCACUUUAUAGUAAUUCCAGGAUAUUUUGAAGUUAAAAAUAUGAAUGACUGCUCUUUGUACAUAUUGUUGUCUGUGUGUCCAUCCUUAACAACCUCGAUAUCCUUCCCAUUCUUCCUUCAAAAUGUUGGUGUGUCAAAAUCCCUGGAAUUAUGUUGUGGUUCCAUUAUAGAACACAGCCUACCACUGGGAACAUUAAACUGUCUGAAGUUCAGUGCACCAUUCAGAAGCAAUAACCUGACCACUAAUAGUCCCUCUGAGUGCAGGCUGUUGCCGGGUUUAGAAUUAUCGACUUAUGGAUACACACGCAGAUCACGGGGAGAGGGUACAAACUCCAUUACAGACAGCACCCGUAGCCGGGAUCGAACCCGGGCCUCUGGCACUCUGUCAGGCAGCAACUCUACCGCUGUGCCACUGUGUCAUUGUUCCUUAUUUGCAUGUUUUUCAUUCAUUGUUCUACAUCUCUCUAAGUCAUCGUCUAUAUCUCUCGUUUCCCUUUCCCGUGACUUUCAGUCUGAAGAAGAGUCUUCGACUGGAAACAACACCCAUUCCUUCUCUCCAGAGAUGCUGCCUCUCCUGCAGAGUUACUCCAGCUUUUUGUGUCCAUCUUUGAGAUGAGGAGAAAUCUCUUCUUUCAGAUGCUUAUGAAUCUUUGGAAUCCUUGAACCCAGAGAGCCAUGGAUGUUGAGCCAUGAAGUAUAUUCAUGUUCCUGGGAAUGGGGCAAGAGAGUGGAAUUGAGUCCACAGAUCAGAUAACCACUAUAUUACUGAAUGGAGUGCAGGCCCAUGAUGCUGUAUGGUCUACUUGUAGUCCUACUAAUUUUCUUAAAAGCUUAUUUAGAUGUCAGAUGAAGAUUUCUGCUAUUGACAGUAAUCGAUCGAUGAACUGAUGGAUACUGCCUGUUCGCAGCACUGUAGCUAAAUGUGGAGAAUGGCCAUUUUGAUUGUGUAUUAAAACACACUCAGCGUCAACAGUAAGAAAAAGAAGCUGAAAUUGCUGAUAUAAUGUUAUAUAUACAAUAAAUAUUAUUAUUUUAAUUUUAAAAUAGUCGGAGUUAUCAACAUAUGUGGUGAGAGGCUUUUGUACUAAACAGUAGCAGCUUGUGAUAAUUCACUUCAGUUUGCAGCCUAAUAGGCAGGACGCUUUUCAAGUCAAAGACCAGAGCAGGAAAAACGUUUUGACAACUUGUAGCCAAUGAUGAAGAAUGUCACAUGAAUGUGACCUUUGACACCCAGUGUGCUUGGAGUAAGGUAAUAUUAGUACAACGUAGUCACAGCUGCUCUCUCAACCUGGAAAGAGUUCAGACAAACUAAGUAUAGAAUCCACACAUUCAUCUGAGAGACAGAGAAAGAGCUGCUGGAAUGGAAAGCAGGCCAGCGGAUGAAAACUGGACUGUGUGCACAUCUGUCUCUCUUUUUGAUGUUGGAGCUUCAGUACCUUCACAUCCUUGCAAGGAAAGAAGAAAGAUCUCAAAGUUAAAACCAGAAGCUUAUUUCUGUGUAACAUACUUUUAAAACAGAGCACAAACGUCAGCACAGGUCUUCAAUGAACACUGCAAUUUCAUCAGAGGCAAGGACAAAAUCAAAUAUCAGAAGCGAGCACUGAACAUCAGGAGAGAUGCCCGUCAGCCACCUUGCUACUCCCCUAUAUACAACCAUGUCGUGAUUAUAACUAGUGGUGGGUUUUUCUUGUAGUCCUCAUUUUUGGCAUGUGGUUGCCUGCUAUUUCCAGGAGGUUUGUUUGUGUCUACUUCUGUGGGGAGAAAAGAUGGGAAGAUGGGGACCACCAUAUCUAUUUGGUGCCAGGCGUCACUAUCCUCUCACAACAUCCUCUCAGAAGGAAUUGAAUUCAGCAGAAUGAAAAAUGGAGAUGCAUGCAAUGAUAAUCAGAAGUGACUUGUAGACAUAAGAAACUGCAGAUGCUAGUUUACAAAAAAAGGUCACAAAGUGCUGGAAUAACUCAGCGGAUCAAGCAGCAUCUCCGGAAAACAUGGAUAGGUGUCGUUUCUGGUCGAGAUCCUUCUUCUUCACAUUCUGAUGAAGGAUCCUGACCCGAAUUGUAGUCUAUCCAUGUUUACGAGAGAUGCUGCCUGACCCGUACUCCAGCACUUUGUGCCUGUACCUGAAAUGACUUCUGAAGAGGAAAUGACGUCUGAAGAAGGGUUUCGGCCUGAAACGUUGCCUAUUUCCUUCCCUCCAUAGAUGCUGCUGCACCCGCUGAGUUUCUCCAGCAUUUUUGUGUACCUGAAAUGAUGAUUGAUGCUGUCAUCCGUGGAAAGAGUGACUAUUGGCAGAGUUUCAAAUGUAGCUAGUAAUUGCGUACAGAUCAUCAAACCUUCACUCCGGGCUUGAUAUUAUAAAUGAAUGGGAUGUCUUUGUUCAUUGCCUCGCCAAGAGUAGCAAAGAGUACACCAGCUCAUAGCCAGCAUGGAGAUGGUGAGAUUAAGGUGGACAUAAGUGCUUGACAGUGAAAAGUGCAUGGAAGUGAUUGCUGGAAGUGCUUACACUUCUGAACAAAUGAUCACGCUCCUUAGACCGCUCAGUCACUUGGUCAGCAUCGCAUUUGAUGAAUAAUGUCCUGAUUAUCAUCUCUAACAGCAGCAUGAAGAAACACAUAUGGUGACCCCCAAGGAGUCUGCAAUCAUAGGACAUCAUUUUAAAAAAGCAACUCAGCAUGUUAGCACAGAGAUCUGAUCCACUUCCCUGUACCUCAAGAGAAAUACAUUGUACUACAUAGAAGAUCUCUGAAAAAGAAGAGGAAAGGCCUGUAGUUGCAAAAUUGUAUACUUAAUGUUCGCGUUCUGUUUUGAUAUUGGCACUCAUAAAUACUCUUCUACUAUUCUUCCAUUAUGGACAUUUUUGGUUUGUUCCAAGCAAGUAGCUUUUACACUUUAUCGAAUGAUAUGACAUGAAUGGCCACUGAAAUAGUAGUUUCGUUUAGUUUUGUUUAAUGACGCAUGCACCAAGGUACAGUGAGAUCUUUUUUUUGUUGCAUGCUAUCCAUUCUGUGGGAAAACUAUACAUGAUAUCAAUCCGCCCGCAGUGUACAGAUACAGGA